CCUACGGGAGGCAGCAGUGAGGAAUAUUGGUCAAUGGGCGGGAGCCUGAACCAGCCAAGCCACGUGAAGGAAGAAGGCGCCAGGCGUCGUAAACUUCUUUUGUCGGGGAACAAAGGGCGCCACGUGUGGCGUUGUGAGUGUACCCGAAGAAAAAGCAUCGGCUAACUCCGUGCCAGCAGCCGCGGUAAUACGGAGGAUGCGAGCGUUAUCCGGAUUUAUUGGGUUUAAAGGGAGCGUAGGCGGGCCGGAAAGUCAGCGGGAAAAGCCCGGGGCUCAACCCCGGCGAGCUGUUGAAACUGGCUGCCUAGAGACGGCGAGAAGUACGCGGAAGUCGCGGUGUAGCGGUGAAAUGCAUAGAUAUCGCGAAGAACUCCGAUUGCGAAGGCAGCGUACCGGCGCCGGACUGACGCUGAGGCACGAAAGCGUGGGUAUCGAACAGGAUUAGAUACCCGGGUAGUC
rnacentral:rRNA from 1 species